rnacentral:rRNA from 1 species
UACGGAGGGUGCAAGCGUUGUCCGGAUUUAUUGGGCUUAAAGGGUGCGUAGGCGGUCUUUUAAGUCAGCGGUGAAAUCCUCCAGCUUAACUGGAGAACUGCCAUUGAUACUGGAAGACUUGAGUACAGACGAGGUAGGCGGAAUUGACAGUGUAGCGGUGAAAUGCAUAGAUAUUGUCAAGAACACCGAUUGCGAAGGCAGCUUACUAGACUGUAACUGACGCUGAGGCACGAAAGUGUGGGGAUCAAACAGG